AUCUGUGUUUGUAUGUGCCAGUGUGUGUAUCUCUGUGUCAGUGUGUAUAUGUAUCUGACACACAUAUAUACACACACUGGCACACAGAUACACACACCUUGACUCACAAAUACAC